GCGUUUGGCUUCUGCUUUGGCAGCCUGGAGAGCUUGGAAGAAACGCUGAGUGAAACUGACCUGGCAGGAAUAUUCUUCCGAAAAAAUGUGAUGUUGUCUUCAUCCCUCAGCUUCCCUUCUGUUUUCGAAAUGAGUUCCCUUCUGUUUUCGAAGCCUAAUCUGUCAGCACUCACUAAUCCCCAGGAGACCUUGAGUGAUCUUCAGCCAGAUUAGGCAAUGUGAGGAGCCAGACCCCAGAUACUCACCGUACACGGUGGUGAGGAUAGGAGAGGCAGAGAUGAGGGCUUAUCACCGUUUCUUGGGGAGCUGCACCAGCCUGGAAUACAGGGCAAAUAAAGCACUUCCAGUAAUCAGCACCUCCCUGCUCUCCAAAGCUGGACAGACUCUUGAUGUCAGCUGUGCUGCAGUCUGCAAACCAUCAAUAGAAUUCUGACAGCUGCCUGGUGCUUCCCAGCCAUCAAUUAAGAGAUCCACAGCUGCCCGGUCCUUCCCUGCCCUCGACUAAGAGAUCCACAGCUGCCCGG